AUACGGAGGGUGCGAGCGUUAAUCGGAAUUACUGGGCGUAAAGGGUGCGUAGGCGGCUUGAUAAGUCGGAUGUGAAAGCCCCGGGCUUAACCUGGGAAUUGCAUUCGAUACUGUCAGGCUAGAGUAUGUCAGAGGUUGGCGGAAUUCCUGGUGUAGCGGUGAAAUGCGUAGAUAUCAGGAGGAACACCAGUGGCGAAGGCGGCUAACUGGGGCAAUACUGACGCUGAGGCACGAAAGCGUGGGGAGCAAACAGGAUUAGAAACCCCGGUAGUCC
rnacentral:rRNA from 1 species